ACUCUCAGAAACCUUAAGGUAUUAAGCUCUAACAUAAUUUGAUUGGAUUCUAAAAUUGGAAUCUUUCAAAAUUGCUUUAUUUGGUUUGCCUUAGUUUAUGGAUGAGAGAACAAAAUCCUAUAACCGAAAUGUCGUUAUUUGUCGAUAUAUAGGGUUAGUUAUUCGAUGUUUGUGAUCGUUGUAUCGUUACUGAUUGGGAUCCUCAGCCAGGAGCAUUGGUUGGACUUUCAACAUUCGGAAGUAGAACUGGUCUUGUGGUAGAAAUUGAACGAAGAGGCAUUAAAACGGUCGAAGAACAGAUGGUUUCACCUCAAGUUGUAGCGGUAAAGAAUGUCUUUUAGUCAAAAGGCAUUAUGUCUCGAUGAAUCAAAGUGUCCGAAAGACGAGCUUAGUGGAGAAUCCAAAAGAGCAAGAAGGUGGACUGGAACGUUUUGAUGCCGUCAAAACCUCAAACCCAAAUUAGCUGACUGUGAGCUCUGUUUAUGGUUAGGGCACAUGUGUUCGUAGGUGCUUGUAGAUUAUCUGCUUACAAUGUCUUUACUAUCAUUUACGCUGGUUUGCUACUGGUUUGUUAUAUUAUAGCAAAGUUUUGGAUUCUUG